UGGGGAAUAUUGGACAAUGGGGGCAACCCUGAUCCAGCCAUGCCGCGUGAAUGAUGAAGGCCUUAGGGUUGUAAAGUUCUUUUACCGAUGAAGAUAAUGACGGUAGUCGGAGAAAAAGCCCCGGCUAACUUCGUGCCAGCAGCCGCGGUAAUACGAAGGGGGCUAGCGUUGUUCGGAUUUACUGGGCGUAAAGCGCACGUAGGUGGUGUCGCAAGUCAGUGGUGAAAUCCCAGGGCUCAACCCUGGAACUGCCAUUGAAACUGCGAUGCUGGAAUCUCAAAGGGGGUGCGGAAUUGCUAAUGUAGGGGUGAAAUCCGUAGAUAUUAGCAGGAACACCGAUGGCGAAGGCAGCCACCUGGAUGAGUAUUGACACUGAGGUGCGAAAGCGUGGGGAUCAAACAGGAUUAGAUACCCCCGUAGUCCCUGAGCGGGCUGGCAAGGCGCAU
rnacentral:rRNA from 1 species